UACAGGGGUCCCAAGCGUUGUUCGGAUUCACUGGGCGUAAAGGGUGCGUAGGCGGUCGGGUAAGUCUGACGUGAAAUCUUCAAGCUCAACUUGGAAACUGCGUCGGAUACUAUUCGGCUAGAGGAAUGGAGGGGAGACUGGAAUACUUGGUGUAGCAGUGAAAUGCGUAGAUAUCAAGUGGAACACCAGUGGCGAAGGCGAGUCUCUGGACAUUUCCUGACGCUGAGGAACGAAAGCUAGGGGAGCAAACAGG
rnacentral:rRNA from 1 species